rnacentral:misc_RNA from 1 species
GAUGAAGAACGUAGCGAAAUGCGAUAAGUAAUGUGAAUUGCAGAAUUCCGUGAAUCAUCGAAUCUUUGAACGCACAUUGCGCCCCCUGGCAUUCCGGGGGGCAUGCCUGUCCGAGCGUCAUUUCUGCCCUCAAGCACGGCUUGUGUGUUGGGUGUGGUCCCCCCGGGGACCUGCCCGAAAGGCAGCGUCGACGUCCGUCUGGUCCUCGAGCGUAUGGGGCUCUGUCACUCGCUCGGGAAGGACCUGCGGGGGUUGGUCACCACCAUGUUUUACCACGGUUGACCUCGGAUCAGGUAGGAGUUACCCGCUGAACUUAAGCAUAUCAAUAAGCGGAGGA